rnacentral:rRNA from 1 species
AGCAGCCGCGGUAAUUCCAGCUCCAAUAGCGUAUAUUAAAGUUGUUGCAGUUAAAAGCUCGUAGUUGAAUUUCGGGACCAAUCUGCCGGUCGUGCCUCCGGUACGCACUGGUUUUAUUGGUUUCUCCCUUCUGACGAACCAUGAUGUCAUUAAUUUGGUGUCAUGGGGAAUCAGGACUGUUACUUUGAAAAAAUUAGAGUGUUUAAAGCAGGCUCACGCUUGAAUACAUUAGCAUGGAAUAAUGAAAUAGGACGUUUGAUUCUAUUUUGUUGGUUUCUAGGAUUGACGUAAUGAUUAAUAGGGAUAGUUGGGGGCAUUAGUAUUCAAUUGUCAGAGGUGAAAUUCUUGGAUUUAUUGAAGACUAACUACUGCGAAAGCAUUUGCCAAGGAUGUUUUCAUUAAUCAAGAACGAAAGUUAGGGGAUCGAAGACGAUCAGAUACCGUCGUAGUCUUAACCAUAAACUAUGCCGACUAGGGAUCGGAUGAUGUUAAUUUUUUAAUGACUCAUUCGGCGCCUUAC